rnacentral:rRNA from 1 species
GACGAACGCUGGCGGCGUGCUUAACACAUGCAAGUCGAACGGAAAGGCCUCUUUCGGGGGGUACUCGAGUGGCGAACGGGUGAGUAACACGUGAGUAACCUGCCCUUGACUUUGGGAUAACUUCAGGAAACUGGGGCUAAUACCGGAUAGGAGCUCCUGCUGCAUGGGGGGGGUUGGAAAGUUUCGGCGGUUGGGGAUGGACUCGCGGCUUAUCAGCUUGUUGGUGGGGUAGUGGCUUACCAAGGCUUUGACGGGUAGCCGGCCUGAGAGGGUGACCGGCCACAUUGGGACUGAGAUACGGCCCAGACUCCUACGGGAGGCAGCAGUGGGGAAGAUUGCACAAUGGGUGGAAGCCUGAUGCAGCAACGCCGUGUGCGGGAUGACGGCCUUCGGGUUGUAAACCGCUUUCGCUCAUGACGAAGCUUUGUGUGACGGUAGUGGGUAAAGAAGCACCGGCUAACUACGUG